GACGAACGCUGGCGGCGUGCCUAAUACAUGCAAGUCGAGCGCAGGAAACUGACGGAACUCUUCGGAGGGAAGGCAGUGGAAUGAGCGGCGGACGGGUGAGUAACACGUAAGGAACCUGCCUCAAGGAUUGGGAUAACUCCGAGAAAUCGGAGCUAAUACCGGAUAGUUCAACGGACCGCAUGGUCCGCUGAUGAAAGGCGCUCCGGCGUCACCUUGAGAUGGCCUUGCGGUGCAUUAGCUAGUUGGUGGGGUAACGGCCCACCAAGGCGACGAUGCAUAGCCGACCUGAGAGGGUGAUCGGCCACACUGGGACUGGGACACGGCCCAGACUCCUACGGGAGGCAGCAGUAGGGAAUCUUCCACAAUGGACGAAAGUCUGAUGGAGCAACGCCGCGUGAGUGAUGAAGGUUUUCGGAUCGUAAAACUCUGUUGUAAGGGAAGAACACGUACGAGAGGAAAUGCUCGUACCUUGACGGUACCUUACGAGAAAGCCACGGCUAACUACGUGCCAGCCGCCGCGGUAACAC
rnacentral:rRNA from 1 species